rnacentral:rRNA from 1 species
UACGUAGGGUGCGAGCGUUAAUCGGAAUUACUGGGCGUAAAGGGUGCGUAGGCGGUCGCGCAAGUCGGAUGUGAAAUCUCAGGGCUCAACCCUGAAACUGCAUUCGAUACUGCGUGGCUAGAGUGCUGGAGAGGAGACUGGAAUUUACGGUGUAGCAGUGAAAUGCGUAGAUAUCGUAAGGAAGACCAGUGGCGAAGGCGAGUCUCUGGACAGCAACUGACGCUGAGGCACGAAGGCCAGGGGAGCAAACGGG